rnacentral:rRNA from 1 species
GGCGGACGGGUGAGUAACACGUUGGAACCUGCCCAAAGUAGGGAUAAGCCACCGAAAGGUGGUCUAAUACCUUAUAGUAUCCAUCUCGUAUGGAUUAAAGCUUUAUGCGCUUUGGGAGGGGCCUGCGUUUGAUUAGCUAGUUGGUGAGGUAAAAAGCUCACCAAGGCGACGAUCAAUAGCUGGUUUGAGAGGAUGACCAGCCACACUGGGACUGAGAUACGGCCCAGACUCCUACGGGAGGCAGCAGUAAGGAAUCUUCCACAAUGGGGCAACCCUGAUGGAGCAAUACCGCGUGCAGGAUGAAGCGUUUCGGCGUGUAAACUGCUUUUAUCACCGAAGAUUAUGACUGUAGGUGAAGAAUAAGGACCGGCUAACUACGUG